AUGCCAACAACGAGAAUGGGGGUUUUGGGCUGGGAGAACAGCACAUGUUUUAAAAAGGAGACGUGUUUUGAGAAAGAACUAAAAGCUCAUCAGAGACUGCACAUGGCUGAAGAAAGACUCUUAGAACUUGAAGAUAUGUCAGUAGAAACUUCCAAGACUGAAAACCAAAAAGAAAAAACCUUGAAAAGAACCCAGAAUAGAAUAUCUAAUAACUGUGGGAUAACUACAAAAUGUGUAACAUAUCAGGAUAAGAGAGAAAAUAACAGAAGAAACAUUUGAAGCAAUAAUGACUGAGAAUUUUCCCAAACACUUGUCAAACACCAAACUGCAGACCCAGGAAGCUCAGAGAACAUAAAGCAGGAAAAAAGCCAAAAAAAAAAAAAAAAAAAAAAAAAAAAGACACAGGGUAUAUCAUUUUCCAGCUUCAGAAAACUAAAGUUAAAGAAAAAAUCCUGAAAGAAGACAGAGGAAAGAAACACCUUACCUAUAGAGGAGGAAAGUUAAAAAUUACAGCUGACUUCUCCAUGGAAACCAAGUAAAUAAGAAGACAGUGGAAUCAAAUACUAAACAUGGUGAGAGGAAGAAAAACCUACCAACUUAAAAUUCUAUGCCCUGUAAAAUUAUCCUUCAAAAAUGAAGGAGAAAUAAAGGCUUUCUCAUACAAACAAAAAAAUGAGGAAAAUUGUUGCUGGUAGGCCUGCCUUGAAAGAAACAUUAAAAGAAGUUCUUUAGCAAGAAAGAGAAUAAUCGAGGUCAGAAACCUGGAUCUACACAAAGAAAGGAAAUGCACCAGAGAAUGAGUAAAUUAAGGCAAAAUAAAAUCUUUUAUUUUUCUUAGACUUAAUUGAUCUAAUGGAUAAUCGUUUGUUCAAAAUAAUAAUAGCAAUAAUGUUUUGGAUUAUAUGUGCUUAUGUAUAUAACUUUGGUAAAAAUAAAUAAUAGGCCAGGCACAGUGGCUCACACCUGUAAUCCCAGCACCUUGGGAAGCCAAAGCAGGAGGGUCACCUGAGCCCAGGAGUUUGAGACUAGCUUGCGAAACACAGCAAAAUGUCAUCUCUAAUAAAAAAAUAAAAAAUAAAUUAGCCUGGCAUGGUGAUGUGCCCCUGUAGUCUCAGCUACUCUGGAGGCUGAGGCAGGAGGAUAGCUUGAACCCAGGAGAUCAAGGCUGCAGUGAGCUGUGACUGCACUUCAGCCUGGGUGACAGAAUGAGACCCUAUCUCAAUUUAAAAAAAAUAAAUGAUACCUUUCUGUUUUUCAAAAAAUGAGUUAUAGCCAGAUGCCAAAAGUGUAUUUUCUCAAUUUCUUGCAAUAUAUACCCUAAUGAAGAGAAAAUAUGAAAACUUGCAUCAAUAUUAAAAUUAAGAAUGAUACUCAAGAUAUUGCCAGAAUCUGAAAUAAAUGUUCACUCUUUACAAUUACUGUGGAGUUUGCAGUAGAUUGUUCUUGGGACAGGUGCUGGUCUUCAGAUUCUCUCUUUUCUGGGCCCUUACCCUUUUCAUACAGACAAUCUGGUCGCCAUAGUUCGAGGUUGUAUUAUGUGACUCUGUUUCCCUGGCCAUGAUUAAUAUUGAUCCAGGGUGGCCAUUUGUCUCUUAUCAUUAUUCAUGGCCUUUUUAGCCCCACAGAUAUUUUUACUUUAAUAGUAUACAAUUGUAUAAUAGACAAAUAUUUCCAUAUUUUUCUUAGUUGCCAUAUCAGAAAACCCUCCCCCAGAAAGGAUAUAUGGUUUUAUAUACAUAUUCAUCUAUAGUUCUUCCAGUAUUUGUAAAUGUGUUAUUUAUUAUUUAAUCCUUAACCCAUCUCUAUAAUGUUGGUUUAUUGGUUUGAGACAGCAUUUGCUGAAUCAGAUGAAGAACAUAAGCUUUUUUUUUUUCUUUUUUUUUUGUGGAAAGUGCCUAUCAGGAAACACUAAAAAAAAAAAAAAAUUAUAGAACAAACCUUCACUGAACCCUCAGUUGGGUAAAUAAAAAAGUAAUUACACCUAUAAAAGCAACUUUGGGGAUAUUUGAAUAUGAAGUAGUUAUCCCACUUUUGUAGAUUAUUGUUUAUGUUUCUUAGGUGUGGUAAUAGUACUGUGGUUUUGAUGGAUAAGCCCUUGUUCUUAGGACAUGCAUGCUAAAAUACUUAGAGGUAAAGUGUCACUAUGUCUGAAACUUAAUUCCAAAUGAUUCAGCAAACAGAAAAUGCAGAUAUCCAACUCACAGAAGAUAUCCAAAGUAUAUAAAGCAAAAACAGUCAAAUUGAGAAAAGAUACAGAAAAUUGAAUAACUGUAGUCAGAGAUUUUAAUGCGCCAAUUUCAAUAAUGGGUAGCACAACCAGAUAGAAGAUUAACAAGGGAAUAGAAGACUUGAGUAAUACUAUUUGUGUAGUGUUGUAUAGUUUGUGAAAACUGGACCUAACAGACACCUGUAGAACACUUUACUCAACAACACAAUACACAUCCUUCUCAAGCACAUCUGGAUCAUUCUCUAGCACAAAACAUACACUAGGCCAUAAAACAAGCCAAAAUACAUUUAAAAGGCUUAACAUCCUUUGAAGUAUAGUCUCUGGCCACAAUAUAAUAAAAUUAGAAAUCGAUAACAGAAGGAAAUUUGGAAAAUUCACAGAUAUGUGGAAAUUAAACAACAUACUCCUAAAUCAUGAGUGAGUCAAAUGAAUCUCAAGGAAAACUAGAAAAUACUUUGAGAUGAAUGAACACAAAAAUGCAACAUACCAAAAUUUAUGGAAUGCAGCAAAGCAAUCAAACUCUUCCAAAAAGUAGAAGAGAAAGAAGUGCUUCUUAAUUAUUCUGUGAAGCCAGCAUUACCUUCAUAUCAAAACCAGAGAAAAACUUAAAAAAAAAAAAACUACAGAUCAAUAUUCCUUAUGUAUACACAUGUAAAUGUUUUCAACAAAAUGACAACAAACUGAAUCUAGCAACAUAUAAAAAGGAUUAUACUUUAUGACCAAGUGAUAUUUACCUGAGCCAUGCAAGGUUGGUUCAACAUAUGAACAUCAAUAGAUACAAUAUAUCACAUUGAUACAGUAAGUACCAAAAAACAUAUGAUCCUCUUAACAGAUGUCAAAAAAGCAUUGGACCAAAUUCAGCACCCUCUCAUGAUUAAAAAUACUCCAUAGACUAAGAAAAGAUGGGGACAUCUAUAAUUUAGUAAAGGGCAUCUACAAAAAACUCAUAGCUAACAACAUAUUUACUGGUGAAACAUUGAAAUAGUUAUCCUUAAGAUCAGGAACAAGACAAGGAUGUCUGCUCUUGCCACUUUUAUUCAAUAUUGUACUGGAGGUUCUAGUUAGGGAAAUUAAGCAACAAAAAGGAGAAAAAGGCAUCCAGAUUAGAAAGAAAGAAGUGAAAAUAUCUCUAUUCACAGUGACAUAAUCUUAUAUACAGAAAAUCCUAAGGUAUCCUCUCCCACCCCUGCCACACACAGAAGCAAACUAGUAAACUAGUAAAUGAAUUCAGCAAGGAUGUAGAUGUAAGAUCAAUAUAUAAAAAAGGUUUAUUUCUAUACCCUAGCAAUAUCUAAAAAUAAAAAUAAGAAAAUAAUCACUUGUAGUAACACCAAGUAGAAAACCUAACUAGGAAGCAAUUUAACAAAGGUAGUAUAAAUUUUGGACAAUGAAAAAUGACAAAACAUCAUUGAAAGAAAUUAAAGAUCUAAAUAAAUGAAGACAUCUUGUGCGCAUGGAUUGGAAGGCUUAGCAUUGUUAAGAUGUCAACAUUCCACAGAUAUACAGUUUCAAAAUAGUCUCUAUAAAAAUUCCAGCAGCCUUUUUUGCAGAAAUUGGCAAGCUGAUCUUAAAAUUCAUAUGGAAAUUCAAGAGACCCAGAAUAGCUAAAACAAUCUUGAAGAGGGGGAAUAAAUUUGGAGGACUCAUACACACUAAUUUCAAAACUUACUACAGGGCAACAGUAAUCAACAUAGUAUGUUGCUAGUAUAAGGAUAGACAUAUAGACCAGAAGUGAUAAUCUAGAAAUAGACUCUUACAUAUUUGAUCAAUUGACUUUUCACAAGAGUGUCCAAAUAAUUCAAUAGGGAAAGAAUAGCAUUUUCAAUAAAUGGUGCUGGGACAACUGGAUAUUCACCUGCAAAAGUGCAAAGUUGGACUCUUCACAGCGUAUACAAAAAUUAACUAAAAAAACAUUGACUUAUGCAAAGAAUUCAUGACUAGUACAUCAGAAAUGCAAGCAACAAAACCAAAAAUAGACAAAUGUGACUUAAUUGAACUAAAAAGCUUCUGCACAGCAAAAGAAAUAAUCGGCCGGGGCAGUGGCUCACACCUAUAAUCCCCGCACUUUGGGAGGCCGAGGUGGGCGGAUCACUUGAGGUCAGGAGUUCGAGACCAGCCUGGACAACGUGGCAGAACCCCAUCUCUACUACUAAAAAUGCAAAAAUUAGCUUCGCAUGGUGGCGGGAGCCUGUAAUUCCAGCUUGGGAGGCUGAGACUUGAGAAUCACUUGAGCCUGGGAGGUGGAGGUCUCAGUGAGCUAAGAUCACACCAUUGCACUCCAGCCUGGGUGACAAAGACUCUGUCUGAGAAAAAAAAAAAAAUCAACAGAAUGAACAGACAAGCUGCAGAAUGUGAAAAAAUAUUUGCAAACCACACAUCUGACAAGGGACUAAAAUCCAGAAUCUACUAGGAACUGAAACAACUCAAUAACAACAACAACAACAAAACCUUCCACAAAUAACCUCAUUACAAAGUGGACCAAGGGGGCAAGUAUAACCAUGGCAACCCUGAGCUGGUUGUGAGAAGCUCCAGGCCCCAUGCUGGUGUGUGAAAUAUCAAAUUUCAAGCACAAGUCACAGAUCCAGGAUCUGCUUGAGAUACACUAUCACAAUUACAGGAAGAAAAAAUCCUGGCAACUGUGUCCCCAGAUGCUGCUGAGCUUGUAGGACUUAACAGGACUGUUCACCAGGCCACCGAGAGGCCCAAACCCUAUCCCUGUCCUGUGGGAGAGGUCCUGCAGCGGACCCUGGGCCUGCACUGGGACGAUCAUGUCUCCUCAGACCCCACUUCCCAGCAGCAGUGUGCGACCUCUGCUGACUCUGAACCAGGUCCUGCAUUUAAAUGACAAUUUGAACUUGGAUCCGU
ensembl:lncRNA